CUGCUGCCUUCCGUAGGAGUUUGGACCGUGUCUCAGUUCCAAUGUGGGGGACCUUCCUCUCAGAACCCCUACGCAUCGUCGGCUUGGUGGGCCGUUGCCCCACCAACUACCUAAUGCGCCGCAUGCCCAUCCAUGACCGGGGUCGCCCCCUUUGACCGGCAGGGGAUGUCCCCUCCCGGCAUUAUGUUGUAUUAGGCGGGAUUUCUCCCGGUUAUCCAUCUGUCACGGCCAGGUUGCAUACGUGUUACUCACCCGUGCGCCGGUCGCCGGCGG
rnacentral:rRNA from 1 species